UGAAACAAUGAUUGUGUGUGUGUGUGUGUGUGUGUGUGUGUGUGUGUGUGUGUGUGUGUGUGUGUGUGUGUGUGUGUGUGUGUGUGCAUGCAUGCAUGUUUGUGUUUACAAAUGUUUUAAUGAAGGUUGAGGUUGGUUAAUAAAACCACAGUGCACAGAAUGUUCACUUAUAGAAAUAAAAACACAUGUCAGUGGGCAGUUUUUUUAAGACUCUAAUUAGUAAGAAAAAACUUAACAUAACAUAACAUCUCCUGCCGUUUAGGAGACCAAAGCAUGGUUGUUAUAUAUUCUGUAAAGCUAAUUACACCUCAUUGCUGCUGAAUUCUCUGGAUUGUUUUGCAGACAUUUCACAACAUUCAAUGUACCUGUAAAUGGAUAAAAAGUGGCAUAACAGGAAUAAAACACUUGGGCACAUGCUAUUGGAAUAUAUUCAGUUCCACAGUAGAUAAAGUAGAACCGGCAGAGUACAGGUGAUCAGAUUAGGGUGAACAACAAGGCUGCUGGAUUGUGUUGUUCUAGGAGACAUGACAGUUUUGUUAGGACCUGCUGUAGUGUUGUAGUAUUGUGAUAUUGUAGCAGAUGUAGCUGACUCAGUCACCAUGGUAACGUAUGUUCCCAUUGUAGUCGUGUUGUCCGUGGAAGUCACAGACGUUGGCCUCCAUGGAUUCACAGUGGUGCCAUUUGGUGUCAUCAUUGUGAUGGGGUCAUUUGCAGGUAUUGUGAUGGUUGAUAGCAUCACAUGAGUGGCAUUUACUGGCAGUGAGGUGGUAGAUGCUCUACGUGAAGUCAUCACUGUGGUGGUAGCGUUUAAAGGUACUGUAGAUGUUCUACGUGAAGUCAUCACUGUGGUGGUAGCAUUUAAAGGUCCUGUAGAUGUUCUAUGUGAAGUCAUCACUAUGGUGGUAGUGUUUAAAGGUACUGUAGAUGUUCUACGUGAAGUCAUCACUGUGGUGGUAGCAUUUAAAGGUACUGUAGAUGUUCUAUGUGAAGGCAUCACUGUGAUGGUAGUGUAUAAAGGUAUUGUAGAUGCUCUAUUUGAAGACAUUACAGGGGUGGCAUUUAGAGGUCUUAUGGUAGUGGUGACAUUCUUCACCAUUGGUCUUGUGGUGUUGUUUGAUGGAAAGAAAGUGGUGGCAUUUGAAGGCAUCUUUGUGAUUCUAGCAUUUGAAGGAACUGUAGAGGUAAGAUUCAUUAGUAUUGGAGUGGAGUUGUUCGAUGACAUCAAAAUGGUGGUAUUGGGUGGCAUCACUGUGAUUGUAGUAUUCAAGGUUAUCGUAGAUGUUCUAUUUGAAGAUGUCACAGUGAGGUUUAUAGGAACUGUAGUGGUGACACUCAUUACCCUUGGAGGGGUGUGGUUGUUUGGUGUCAUUGGGGUUGCAGUUGAUUGAGUUAUGUUAUUUGUGGUGCUGGUUUGUGAUGGCAUCAACAAGGUGGUGUUCAUUGGUCUUAUGAUUGUUCCAUUAGUCGUUGUGGAAUGGGUUGUUGCCUUUGUAGUUGAAAAGGUCUUUGUGUUUGUUACCU
ensembl:lncRNA